UACGUAGGGACCGAGCGUUGUCCGGAAUCAUUGGGCGUAAAGAGCGUGUAGGCGGCCACUUAAGUCCUGCGUGAAAUCUUGCGGCUCAACCGCAAGCGGUCGUGGGAAACUGGGUGGCUAGAGUGCGGGAGAGGAGAGUGGAAUUCCUGGUGUAGCGGUGGAAUGCGCAGAUAUCAGGAGGAACACCCGUGGCGAAAGCGGCUCUCUGGGACGGUACUGACGCUGAGACGCGAAAGCGUGGGGAGCAAACAGG
rnacentral:rRNA from 1 species